GGGGAUUUAGCUCAGUGGUAGAGCGUUUGCCUAGCAAGCACAAGGCCCUGGGUUCGGUCCCCAGCUCA
rnacentral:tRNA from 1 species